UACGUAGGGUGCAAGCGUUGUCCGGAAUUAUUGGGCGUAAAGAGCUCGUAGGCGGUUUGUCGCGUCUGCUGUGAAAACUCGGGGCUUAACCCCGGGCCUGCAGUGGGUACGGGCAGACUAGAGUGCGGUAGGGGAGACUGGAAUUCCUGGUGUAGCGGUGAAAUGCGCAGGAUAAUCAGGAGGAACACCGGUGGUGUAGACGGCUCUCUGGACAGUCACUGACGCUGAGACACGAAAGCGUGGGGAGCAAACAGG
rnacentral:rRNA from 1 species